GCGCGCGCAGUAGCCGUGGGGCGACGCUUCCCGGGGCGCGCAGGCCGGCUCGGCGGCCUCGGGCGCGCUGCGUGGAAGAGCCAAUGCGCGGCCUUAGGGGCCCCGGCGCGCUGCGUGGGGCUGGAGCAGAAGGUGCCGUGGGCGCCAAGGGCGGCCUCCUCCUGCCCCGCAGGGGUUGGAGGCCAAGCUCAAGCUGCUCCCUCCAGGCUUCUGGCAACAGGCCGCGCGGGAAUCCUGGCCCCUUUGCGCUAGGGUUGAGGCACCCUGGUUGCCCUCCUUUAAAAGCUCUAUAGCCUCAGGUUGCAGAGGCGGAACAGCCAGCCAGCAGAACAGAUACACACCACUUAACCACAGACUAAUACCUGCUCCAUGCACACACAAAGGCAGUGUCAGAUGCUCAGGAUACACUUUACCAAUUGCCUGCAAACAGAAAUCAAACACACACAGCAUACACAAAUGCCUACUACAAACAGAAGGGCUGUGCCCUUCCUCCUUCUGUCUGCACCAGAAAGUUAGUAGCUGUAUUACAGCCAAGCUGCAAGGCUGGCAAGCCACUAAUGCAGAUCCAAGGCCCUGUGUCUGCCACGUGCAACAAAAUACACUACACAUUCAUGGAGAGACAGACUGAGCUCUUCAGAGAGAAGAGCAUCACAUCCUGCUGGUUGUUACUCCUUGUACCCUUUCAAACUGGGUUCAAAACACACAGGUUAAAAUAAAUCCAUGGGAUACCAAAACAGGCCAUUUCCCCAACUACCCAAACAUUGAAGAGAGCGACCCUGGAUUCUACCUUGUAUCCAGGCUGCUGUGUGGUUUUUUUUCCAGACGGGUGCUGAGUGUUUUACAGACCUUUUGAAACAAAGUAAAUGCCACUUGGUAGUAAAGGUGCCUGGUUCUGUUGGUGCCUCACCCCCAAUAUUUAGGUAGAUAUGCCUGAGAGUACUUUAAUAUUCUGAGAGUCAAAUUGAAUGUGUCUUAAAAGGUUACAUCUUGCCACUGGGCAGUCAGAGUGAGUCCCAACAUUUCUCCCAACAGUUUGGUUUAUUUGUUAAAGAUUCCCCCCAAGUUUAUCAAAUCUUGCCUCUUGUCCCUUUUAAAUGACAGCUUUUACAAGCAAAUACUACGGAUCAAUUUAGGGCCUAAUCCUUCCAAGUGCUGAGUGCCCUCAAUUCCCAUUUAUAUCAGCAUUGCCGAGGGCCUAAGGGGCAAGCUGGUUCAAGAAUUUAAAGAAGAAAAGCCUGACACGUUUGAAAGGGUGACAACUUUCAAACGUGUUUAAAAGGUCAAAUCACUUCUACAGCAUUUUAACUCCAUACGAUAUUUAAAAAAUUUUGCCUGGCAGUUUUAAGAUGUGCAGGUGGGACAGUUAAAGAACUACAACCCUCCAUUUGUAGUGAAGAGGGGAAAAACUUGCUUGCCUGAGUCUGAUUGCACCAUUUUACUGCUAACUCAAGCAUUUUCCAUGUUCUUAAAAACCAUAAAGACAUGCUUUUCUGCUGCAAAGAGAAUGUGGUUUUCCUGCCUAUGCCUUUGAAAUGACUUAGGGACUCUGGAAAAUUAGGCGAUUCAUACUGCUUAUAGAAAGUAACGGUUUAUUAAGGUAGUUCAUCCUCAUGACAUAUGGGGGGAGGGAAUCCCACAACUGUUAAGUAAAAAUAAAAGUCAAACUGCUGCAUGACAACACAAGAAUGAGCAUUUGCCUUAACUUUCUAUUGCACACAACGAGAUACCUUGGAAACAGCUGAAAGGGUGAAUAUUCUUUUCAUGUCUUGAGAAAUUCUUGACCAAUAACACUGUACUAUCAUAUACUAACAGGGGUUCAAGAUGCUUAGAUAGCCCUGAUUAAGUUAGACACUGCAGGAGGUAAAAAAUGUUGGCUAUACACUUAUGUGGAAAUAUGUCUGUCUGUUGUUUUAACUGGUGAAAUUGCCCUCUUAUGUGAAACCUCUGAAAAAGUUUCAGUACAAAAAUAAUCUAAUCUGAAGUCUGAAGCAGUGAUUUUUAUCCUGAAUUAUGUCAAAUAAUGUUUGGCAUCAUUAUACAAAUCCU